UGACUCGUAGCUAAGCCGAUAGAGCGUGCGCUGUACAAAAGCCUAGGCGGCGUCCAUGAGUGGGUUCGAAUCCCAUUGAGGCAA
rnacentral:tRNA from 1 species